AAUAUUUUCACCAAUGGUGUCAGUACAUACGUAUUUGUAUGUGUAUAUUUAGCUGCCAAUGUUUUAAAAAAGAUUUCAUAUAAUCUCACGCACGAUAUUGAAGAGGGAAGGCAGCACAAAUCCAACGUAAUCAGCACACGUGAAUCAACAUACAUACAUAUAAGCAUUCAUUUGUACUACACAUGUAUAUCGAAUUUACAAAGAGAUGAAAACAGGAAACUAAAAAAUAUUUACCUACAUUUAUUUUAUUAAAAUAAAGAUUAUUGAUGAAUUAAUUUUAAUAAAGUGGAAAUUCGUUUAAAUGAAA